CUGAAGUUACUCAGCGUAUUCUCUCUGUCUUCGGCAGUCUGGGUGAUGUUGUUACUACUACUUUUCUGCUGUCUCAUAUCUCCCACCACCAUGUGCCAGCUGAUAGGGGAACUGUGACAUACCACACCCCCGCGGCCAGGAAGGGGGUCACAUGGACUGGUCUCAUCCAGAGCACUUUAAAGAAACUGAUAAGCUCUAUCUCAUUUAACUUGGCCUUUGGAAGAUGCUUGUGGAAACUUCUGCAAAGGAGGUGACAUCAGUUGUUGUCACAGCUGCUGUGCCCUACAGUGACCUUACUGUUGGCUGAUUCCAGAGAGCCAACUCAUUAUUCUGAAUUGAAAUUUCUCCAUCUCCAAAAUCAGAGGAAUCUCCUAGGCUGUUUCCUCUCUGCUGCAGUGCCCUUCCAGCAGACACCUGCAUCCUCAUUUGGCUUGAAUUUCUUCAACAACAUCUGAUUUGAAUGGAUCCUCAGUGAACAGCAGAACUUCUUGGUGCUGCUCUAACUUCCUGUUUGCUAGUGGAAAGCUGUUACAUUUAUUCUGGAUUCAUCAUUUCAGUUUGAGGAAACCGAAACUGACAAAUAAACAAAGUCCCUGAAAUUUAAGGAAAGCAAAAUCAAAUAUUUGAGAACGAAGCUUCAUGAAGAAAAAUACUGCAGGGCAACAAAGAGAACAACCUGUAACAGAGAGUACUGAAAACUCCUCUCCCACCACUUCAUGAGUCCUUGAAGACAGACAGGAAAAGCAGUAGAUGUGCAACUUAUUACCCACUAGAUCUGCUCUGUUAUUCAGGCUGUGAUGCCAACAGUUCCAGUUGUUACUGACCAGGCAUCCACGUGGAGAGCAUGCUUCUUGUGCCCUGUAAAAGAAGGGAAAACACUCUGAAAAUGAGGUUGGGAUGCAGACCUAAGCACCAAAGUCAAAGUGCUUUCAUGCUAAAAGUUGGAUUCCUACCGCCUCCAAUGGAUUUUUUGUUUUGUUUUGUUUUAUUUUGUUUUGUUAUAUAGGUGUCUGUAUUUCUGAUGACCCAGCUCUUUGGUAAGAGGGAAACUGCUUUCACAGAGGAACAUUGUGAUUCAGAACUUUUAACUAUGAAGUAGCAAAGGAAGGUAACUUUUCUCAAUGACUCCAGCUUCUUUGAAACAGAAUAUAUUGUUGGCAUUACCACCUAGGACAAGCCAAAGCCCCUGCAGAGAUGUACAAAACUUACAGAUGAAAAUAUACACCUACUGUAGACAGACCAGUUUGGUUUUGAGUCAUUCAGCAUUUCAAACUAAGUUUUUUCAGUAUAACUAAAACCAUCAGUGAGUGAGUCCCCAGUUCCCCAUGGCUGGCUGUGCAUGUGAGUGUCUUUUAUGGCAGCUGCUGCAGGACUAAUCGAGCAGUUACUCCUCAGGGGGAUCACAGCCUCCUCCCACCUGCUGUUUACAUCCCCACCCAUUCAGCUCCAGGGUUAGGCAGGGGAAGGAAGCGGCCUCACGCUGCAUGUGCCUACGUGACACAGUACAGUGUGUUAGAAAUAAAUCAACUGCUUUGCUGAGGAUUGAAGUUACCAAGGGCCUCUGAUCAAUGCCAACCAAAGCCACACUGGGUCUUCAGCUGCAGGUUCUCCAUGGGUGAACGGGGCAGGGGACAGGACCACCUCAAUGUAGCAGUCUCAAUACAAAAUUGGAUUAAAGCAAAUUAAUUUGAGAGAAACGAUUUAAAAAUCAAAAACUCUAGGAACACUCCAGGUGGCAUUGUGUGCAGGAAAAAUUUAGGGUACAUUUGCUUUUCUCUAUGCAUGAAUAUUGAUCAACAGGCUGCUUUUUUUUACCAGCUAUGGUGAUGGAGAUGACAUGAUUGUCAUUAUAUUCUGAUUGCAUUUCUUUAAUGAGAUAAGUCCUUAGACUAUUAGAGGUGAUGAAAGCUGUUAGUAACAGCAACAUCAAGAGUGAAGGAAACCAGUAUCAUUGUAAGUUUUCUGGUAAUGUGGGGGACAGAUAGGACUUUCAACUUUUUAGAAAUUGUUUUAGAAGUCAUACUACGAACAAUUAAAAAACCUACCAAACAUCCAAACCAGUGAAAACUUCAGUGUUCAAGGAGAUAAAAAUACAGCUAUGGGUGACGUGGUUUGGUCUGAAUUACUGCAGGAAGUUGAAGAAGGCAGCUUCUCUUCCAGUGUCUAAUAGGCUGUGAAAGAACAAGAUGUGAAAGAUAAGUACAAACAACACGUGACAAAUUCCUUUAAGAUAGUUAUUACUCUUCCUUUUUUCCAUUUCAUUUGGAAUAAAAGAGUCAAACAGCCUUUUCUGUUGCAUUCACAUUUGCUGUUUACACUUCCCUGUUAAUUGCCUUCAACAGUUUAAGGAAAGAAAAUCUCAAAUUCUUUGUUUUAAAAAGCUUACAUUUGCUGUACCAAAGAACUCAUCAAGUUAAUGAUCAUAUCUAGCAUUCAAUCCAAAGUAGGAUCUUUCAGAGAUUUAAAGAAAAAAAGAUCAAACACCAAAAUAGACUUUAAAAAGCUGCUCGUGCUAAUACAACAUCAGGUAGGAAAUGAAAGUUUAACAGUUUAACUAAGGAAUAUUUCUCCAGCUUCUAGAGCAAGACAGAGCUGCUCAGGAAGUUGCCAGAGCAGGGAGCCUCCAGGAACUGAAAGAUAACAGUGACCCUUUGCUGCCUUAGACCAGCUGGAGAGAAGGAGGCAGGCACUGGAGUAUGCACUGCUACGUGAAAAAGGAACAAGAGUACAUGAAAAUUGUAAAAUCAGCAUUAGGCUGGGAAUGUGUGUCUUUCCUGGUGGGAAUGUAAUGUUUCCAGAGUUAAUUUCUUUUCCUUAAGGCUGUUUUGUAGUCUUUAUCUGCAAUGAUACAUUAUUUGUCCUCUAGAAUUCUACCUAUAUUUGUGCACUUUCCUGUGUCAUGAUCACAGAGAGUGAGUAUUGCAGUUGAUGGAUAUGUCCUUUAAAAUUUCUCAAGAAGUUUAAAGGUGUGCUCUGGAGAGUUGGUAUCAACCUUUCCACUUCAACUAAUGAAGAAUAAAGACUAAGAAUGAAUCACAAACAGGACUUGUAGCAUUUUGGUGGCCCAGACAGGGUAACUUCUCACUCAUAACUGGAUCUGACCUGAGUGAUAGGAACCAAGUGUGUAGUGAUUCCACUGACUAAUUGUUGGAUACCUACUUUCUGUACUGGCUGAGUUGAAGGGAAGACACCAGGGCUGUCCCUGCCAGCACUACACACAGUCCAUGGGCUGCAUGAAGCCUGUGAAGGAAUGUGUUGGCUUGCUGGGCAGCCCAGAAUCAUCUUGGGA